rnacentral:rRNA from 1 species
CGAAGAAGGUAUCUUUGGCGUCCGGCUCUUGGACUUAUGCACUUGGAACAGAACGUCACAGAGGGUGAGAAUCCCGUGCGAUGAGAUGUCCCAGACCUAUGUAAAGUUCCUUCGAAGAGUCGAGUUGUGGGAAUGCAGCUCUAAGUGGGUGGUAAAUCCAUCUAAAGCUAAAUAUUGGCGAGAGACCGAUAGCGAACAAGUACAGUGAUGGAAAGAUGAAAAGAACUUUGAAAAGAGAGUGAAAAAGUACGUGAAAUUGUUGAAAGGGAAGGGCUUGAGAUCAGACUUGGUAUUUUGUAUGUUACUCUCUCGGGGGUGGCCUCUACAGUUUACCGGGCCAGCAUCAGUUUGAGCGGUAGGAUAAGUGCAAAGAAAUGUGGCACUGCUUCGGUAGUGUGUUAUAGUCUUUGUCGAUACCUUGCCAGCUUUAGACUUGAGGACUGCGGCUUCGGCCUAGAUGUUG